rnacentral:rRNA from 1 species
GACGGAGGGGGCUAGCGUUGUUCGGAAUUACUGGGCGUAAAGGGCGCGUAGGUGGUUAUCUAAGUUAGGUGUUAAAGACCCGGGCUUAACCUGGGGAGUGCACUUAAUACUGGAUGACUUGAGUAUGGAAGAGGAAAGUGGAAUUCCUAGUGUAGAGGUAAAAUUCGUAGAUAUUAGGAGGAACACCAGUGGCGAAGGCGACUUUCUGGUCCAUAACUGACACUGAGGCGCGAAAGCGUGGGGAGCAAACAGG